UGAAAUUUAUCUUGGGGAUGCGAGCCAGCUCGGGUACCCAGGCUGGCUCGCUUCCAUAUAAACAGCCCCUAAGUUUUGUAAAUCUGGUCUUGCUAUUUAUGCUUAUCAAUGUGGAGUAAAGCAUGUCGCGCAAACAACGUUCUUUAACGUCGAAACGUUUAAAUAUCCAAUGAAUUCUACUAUUGAAUUGAGUUGGACGAGCAAACAAAAUCGCUGUUUUACGGAUAACUAAAACGGUUUUUUGGACGUAGCCACCGCAUGAAGAGCUGGAUCAUCGUCAUUGCUGUCUUCUAUAUUCUUACUGAGCCAUUGGAAAUCACUCUAUAUGUUGUGAGAUAUGAUGUGUACCUUCCAUAGGCAUGUGAUAUUUCCCGACACAUGUUGCGUCUUGCUGCAGCAAAAUUGUCUUACCAUGCAGGAAGUAUAAUAUGAUGGAUAUUUUGAAAGUUUGGUGUCUUAGCAACUGCGAGCACAGAAUAAAGAUAAAUACAGAAGGGCCACUUAAUUACGUCGGAAGCUUUGAAGUUUCUGUCGUCACGCAUGUCGCAUUACGCAUGUUGGCCGCCAUUUUUCUAGCCAGUCAAUAACAUUUUCCGCCCAAUAAACACGCUGUACUGGCCGGCUGCUCCUCCUCCUUCUGCAUGGCCAGUAAACUGAAUAUUGUUGCAUAAAAAAACUAGGACACGUUGCAACACGUUGCAACUAGGACACGUUGCAACUAGGACACGUUGUAAAAACUAUUGCAGCAAAUGCUGAAUUACAAGUCAAUACAUAAAUUAUCAAGAAUAAUUAUCAAGAAUAACUAUAUCUUUAAAAAUCUAUCAAGUUACAUAUUUUUACAUGCUAGAAGAUAUUAAUAUUUGCAAGUUAUAAAAUUUAGAUUCGCUUAGAUGUCGUAAGUUAUAUUCAUGAUUUGUCCCAACGCGGUUGGAAUUGAAGAGUUUUUUUUUGGCUUCCUCAACUUUAGCUGUUAAGUAGUCCGGAAUGGCAGACCAAACAGGGACAGCGCAUUUUGGGAUUAGUCUGACUAUAAGCUGCAGUAUACUGCAGUUACAAGUUGUUGAUACCCAAUCCUUGUUCUCCGUAGUAUACGCAUUAUAUAGAGUCUCUUAUUUGCUUUCUUAGUAAUAUAGUCACACAGUGCAAAUGGCAGGCAGGCAAUACUUUAUUUAAAAUUAACAAAAAGAAACACGCU